UACGGAGGGUGCAAGCGUUAUCCGGAUUUACUGGGUUUAAAGGGUGUGUAGGCGGACUUUUAAGUCAGUGGUGAAAUCCCGGGGCUCAACCCCGGAACUGCCAUUGAUACUAUUGGUCUUGAAUACUGUGGAGGUGAGCGGAAUGUGUCAUGUAGCGGUGAAAUGCUUAGAGAUGACACAGAACACCGAUUGCGAAGGCAGCUCACUACGCAGUGAUUGACGCUGAGGCACGAAAGCGUGGGGAUCAAACAGG
rnacentral:rRNA from 1 species